GGGCCCGCACAAGCGGUGGAGCAUGUGGUUUAAUUCGAUGCAACGCGAAGAACCUUACCAGGGCUUGACAUACUGCGAAUCUUUUUGAAAGAAAAGAGUGCCUUCGGGAAUGCAGGUACAGGUGGUGCAUGGCUGUCGUCAGCUCGUGUCGUGAGAUGUUGGGUUAAGUCCCGCAACGAGCGCAACCCUUGUUUUUAGUUACCAAUUCGUUGGGUUUCUAGAAAGACUGCCGGUGACAAACCGGAGGAAGGUGAGGAUGACGUCAAGUCAGCAUGCCCCUUAUGUCCUGGGCUACACACGUGCUACAAUGGCUAGGACAAAGAGUCGCGAGUUCGCAAGAGCCAGCUAAUCUCGUAAACCUAGCCUAAGUUCAGAUUGUAGGCUGCAACUCGCCUACAUGAAGUUGGAAUCGCUAGUAAUCGC
rnacentral:rRNA from 1 species